rnacentral:rRNA from 1 species
AUUGAACGCUGGCGGCAGGCCUAACACAUGCCAGUCGAACGGCAGCAGAGUGAUUGCUUGUUGUUACGGGGGGCGACGGGCGGGUGAUUCCUGGGAACAUCCCUAGCUACUUGUGCUAGGGUGAUAACGUAGGGACACAUACCCUAUUAGUGCAUACGACGUAAGGGUGGGAUCUUGGGAUCUUCCGCUCUUGCGUGAGCGUAGGAGGCGAUGUCGGGUUAGCUAGUUGGUGGGGUAAAGGCCCACCAAGGCGACGAUCCGUAGCUGGUCUGAGAGGAUGAUCAGCCACACUGGAACUGAGACACGGUCCAGACUCCUACGGGAGGCAGCAGUGGGGAAUAUUGGACAAUGGGCGAAAGCCUGAUCCAGCCAUACCGCGUGUGUGAAGAAGGCCUUCGGGUUGUAAAGCACUUUUGUUGGGGAAGAAGAGCAGUAAGUUAAUACCUUGCUGUUUUGACGGUACCAAAAGAAUAAGCACCGGCUAACUUCGUG